rnacentral:rRNA from 1 species
GAUGAACGCUGGCGGCGUGCCUAACACAUGCAAGUCGAACGGGUCUCUUAUCUUGGAGGUUUCGGCCAAAGAGGUUUGAGAUUAGUGGCGGACGGGUGAGUAACGCGUGGAGAACCUGCCCUGUACUGGGGGAUAACAGUGAGAAAUCACUGCUAAUACCGCAUAAGCGCACGGAGCCGCAUGGCCCUGUGUGAAAAACUCCGGUGGUACAGGAUGGCUCCGCGUUGGAUUAGCCAGUUGGCGGGGUAACGGCCCACCAAAGCAACGAUCCAUAGCCGGCCUGAGAGGGUGAACGGCCACAUUGGGACUGAGACACGGCCCAGACUCC